GGAAAUUAUACAAAGCUAAAACAGAGAGGAAAGGCCAAUUUUAGACAGUCAGAAAAGUCAUGACAACAGGACAGCAGCAGCACAGUUUUCUGUCUGCAGAGAAGACAUGUUGGCAGGGGGAGAACACGGCAGAGACAUUCUACAUGUGCUGUGUUAGUCUUUGGAACUUAUCUGAGAAGAGCCCAGAAUCCUUCUUGGGGAGUAGAAAAGGAGGCUGUCCCAUGAGAGGAAGCAGGACAUAAGGAUUGAAAACUUCACAUCUGUGUAUUAAAAUCAAAUGGUGAUCAGAAGAGUGGGGACUCAGCUCAAGAGUGAGGAUGCAACUGCCUUGUCCACUCCAGAAGCCCA
rnacentral:lncRNA from 12 species